rfam:Salmo salar isolate Sally breed double haploid chromosome ssa23, whole genome shotgun sequence.
AAAUGCAAUAAUUGUAAUUCGCUCUGGAUAAGAGCGCCUGCUAAAUGACUAAAA